rnacentral:rRNA from 1 species
UGGGGAAUUUUGCACAAUGGGGGAAACCCUGAUGCAGCGACGCCGCGUGAUUUAGAAGGCCUUCGGGUUGUAAAAAUCUUUUCUAUGGGAAGAAAAUGACAGUACCAUAGGAAUAAGGACCGGCUAAUUACGUGCCAGCAGCCGCGGUAAUACGUAAGGUCCGAGCGUUGUCCGGAAUCAUUGGGCGUAAAGGGUACGUAGGCGGGUAAGCAAGUUAGAAGUGAAAUCCUAUAGCUCAACUAUAGUAAGCUUUUAAAACUGCUCAUCUUGAGGUAUGGAAGGGAAAGUGGAAUUCCUAGUGUAGCGGGGAAAUGCGCAGAUAUUAGGAGGAAUACCGGUGGCGAAGGCGACUUUCUGGCCAUAACCUGACGCUGAGGUACGAAAGCGUGGGUAGCAAACAGG